AGUCGAACGGUAACAGGAAAGCAGCUUGCUGCUUUGCUGACGAGUGGCGGACGGGUGAGUAAUGUCUGGGAAACUGCCUGAUGGAGGGGGAUAACUACUGGAAACGGUAGCUAAUACCGCAUAACGUCGCAAGACCAAAGAGGGGGACCUUCGGGCCUCUUGCCAUCGGAUGUGCCCAGAUGGGAUUAGCUUGUUGGUGGGGUAACGGCUCACCAAGGCGACGAUCCCUAGCUGGUCUGAGAGGAUGACCAGCCACACUGGAACUGAGACACGGUCCAGACUCCUACGGGAGGCAGCAGUGGGGAAUAUUGCACAAUGGGCGCAAGCCUGAUGCAGCCAUGCCGCGUGUAUGAAGAAGGCCUUCGGGUUGUAAAGUACUUUCAGCGGGGAGGAAGGGAGUAAAGUUAAUACCUUUGCUCAUUGACGUUACCCGCAGAAGAAGCACCGGCUAACUCCGUGCCAGCAGCCGCGGUAAUACGGAGGGUGCAAGCGUUAAUCGGAAUUACUGGGCGUAAAGCGCACGCAGGCGGUUUGUUAAGUCAGAUGUGAAAUCCCCGGGCUCAACCUGGGAACUGCAUCUGAUACUGGCAAGCUUGAGUCUCGUAGAGGGGGGUAGAAUUCCAGGUGUAGCGGUGAAAUGCGUAGAGAUCUGGAGGAAUACCGGUGGCGAAGGCGGCCCCCUGGACGAAGACUGACGCUCAGGUGCGAAAGCGUGGGGAGCAAACAGGAUUAGAUACCCUGGUAGUCCACGCCGUAAACGAUGUCGACUUGGAGGUUGUGCCCUUGAGGCGUGGCUUCCGGAGCUAACGCGUUAAGUCGACCGCCUGGGGAGUACGGCCGCAAGGUUAAAACUCAAAUGAAUUGACGGGGGCCCGCACAAGCGGUGGAGCAUGUGGUUUAAUUCGAUGCAACGCGAAGAACCUUACCUGGUCUUGACAUCCACAGAACUUUCCAGAGAUGGAUUGGUGCCUUCGGGAACUGUGAGACAGGUGCUGCAUGGCUGUCGUCAGCUCGUGUUGUGAAAUGUUGGGUUAAGUCCCGCAACGAGCGCAACCCUUAUCCUUUGUUGCCAGCGGUCCGGCCGGGAACUCAAAGGAG
rnacentral:rRNA from 1 species